ensembl:lncRNA
UUUUAGCAAUACCAUAAAGAGCUCAUUUCUGUGAUUCCAAGUCAGCCUUAGUUGUUCUAAUGUGCAUAGCAGCUGGAAGAGAAAGCCACGCGAUGGCUGAAGAAGUUGUCUGCAGCAAGAAAAUCACAUCUCAGUUCCCAGGAUUUCAGAGAGAUGAGUCUCCUUCAAUAGUUACAAACCUCUGCAAAACGUUUUGGUGCCUGUUGUGCACUGGUUUGAUCGGAUCUUGGUGAUUUCCUCCUGCAUGCAAUCCAGGGCCUGGUUCUGCUCUUCAUGAUGGAUGAUGCUACCAGGAACCGUGGCUGAUUCAUUGUGCUGAAGGAGGAGAGAAUGGGGAUGUGGAGUUGAUCUUCAUAAUUGGCCUACGUAUUUUGGGUCUGAGACUAUAGGUGUGUUAAUUCCCCUCCGUCUAAGUGUUCCUGACUGCUCCGUGCCUUGCCCCGAGCGGAAAGAUAAAGAAGAGAUCCUUCCAUUUGUAUCAGACAUGGCUUCCUUCCUGGGUUGCCUUUCUUUGUGGCGUAGCACGGCGCUGGCAGAGCUCCUCACGUGGCACAGGAGCCGUGCUGACUCACGCGCUCACACGGGAAAUCCCAGCAUGCUUUCUGGCUGCUUCUCAUUCAAACGAUUCUUCCCAGCCUUCUGCUUUUGGGAAGGGAGCCUCAGUCUGCACCUCACACCCCGGCACUCUGCUGCUGUAAUUCAGCACAAAGAUAGCACAGAAUGAAAGGAGGUAGCCUUGAGAUGUAACUAUUGCAGCAAAAGCCACCGUACUCCUGAAUUAGCCCAAACCGCAGCUGUGUCAUUCUGGAGCUGGGAGCCUUUCCCACAGGGCAGCGCUGCCAUCCGACACGACAGAGAGGUGAAGACAGAGCCAUUCUUACCAUGGCACAGCACUGGGAUGCUGCUGUCAGAAGCAUCUGCAUCUCUCCAAGGGCUGGCAGUGCUGUGCUGCUCUGCCAUGUUACAGCUGCCCUGGCAGACAUGAUGCUGCUCCAAAAUGUGCAUUCGCUGCAGUUGGCACAGUUUCUUCUUAACAGUUUAAGUUCUGUUUGGUUGAAGUGCAUUUUGUAGACUUUUAUAAUGACGUGUUUUGAUUAAAAAUACAGGUCUUUUAAGGUGGACAGAUCAGAAAAGCACAUAAUUUCUUUGUACACACACCAUCAGUCAGACUGCUUCUCUGCUGCCAUCUGUCACACUGCAAUAGUGUGGGAUGGAGUAUAGGUGGGAAGGUGCAACCCCUACUGCUGUACCACCAACAUCCAUUCUGAUGUCAUGGGCCAACAUCACAAAUUAGGAGGCAUUACUUCCAGAGCAGCCCUUGUAUAAAGUGGUUUGUGGGCAUGUUGUGGUGGUGCUUUACUUUUCUAUUUUCAGUCACCAUCCCUGCAGACUAUCAGUGUGUAGCACAGUUCUGUUCAGAUUGUUAAGGGGUGGAAAAAGAGAGCAGCUCAAAGUGAGCCACGGCAGUGUACCAUUUCUUGUAUGCUAGAGACCUCAAGAUAUGGGGAAUGAUGCUAGAAUCAUGAUUCCUCAGCAAGUCCUCAUUUUCCCAUACAUAAAUUUUUCCAGUCCAAAAACAGAAUCUGGUGUGGGUUUGGUUAGUUUUUUUUUCCAGCAUCUGUGGGUGUCUGGUAGUCUAUUCAAAGAGUGUAACUUAGCAAUAAGUAUCUCAGCAUGCAUUGUUACUAUACAGGAAUCCUUAGUAAGGACCAAG